rfam:Citrus sinensis cultivar Ridge Pineapple sweet orange scaffold06967_contig_1, whole genome shotgun sequence.
AUACCUUUCUCGGCCUUUUGGCUAAGAUCAAGUGUAGUAUCUGUUCUUAUCAGUUUAAUAUCUGAUAUGUGGGCCAUCGGCCCACACGAUAUUAAAUUAAUUUUUGUAGGGGGAGAGUCCGCAACGGUAGCUUGCUAUCGGGGCCCUCGAGCGUCGCUCUUGCGUUGCACUACUGCAAGAGCCUGGCGCACCCCAC